CAGGGUGUUUCUAUAGGGUCUGGAAAGACAGAUGGGUUUUUCUAUGUGGAAUAGUUGGUGUCAGGGGAGACUGAAUUCUGACAGGAGUUAUUUCCCUCUGGCCAAAGCUUUGUGGGAGUUUCCCAUCUUCCCCAAUCACAGAGAAUUGAAGCAGGCUUAAGAUUGCAGUGAGAGGCUGAAGUGGGAGGAUCCCUUGAACUCAGGUUGAGGCCGCAGUGAGCUAUUAUUGCGCCAUUAAGCUCCAGCCUGGGUGACAGACCCCUCAUUUUUAAAAAGUAAAAAUUAAAAGAUUGCAAUGAGUGGUUUAGGUUGGAUAUAAGAAAAACUUAGUGGGUUGUGAGGAUGGUUAAAUACCAAAGGAGACACAGGGUGAGUGAGCCUUUGUGAAGGGCUGCACAGGGAACUGCAGUGGCUCUGCCCUGGGGAGUCCUGUCCAAACCCAUUCCUUUCUCCUUUCACUGGAGAACAUGAUCAGCCACGUGAGGAAGCUCAGGCUCACCCUGAAUAGUCACGGUCAGAAUGUGUUUCUCACCACCCUCCCUCCCAUGGUCUCUGCAGGAAAGAGGGGGUGGCAUGGCCGUGAACCCCAGGAGCUUGGCCACCACUGUAUUCCCAGCACCUGCUAUGCUGUGUGUGUUUGACAGACAUCUCGUGCAUGAAUCAAAGAAUACCUUCUCAAAAUGGUUUAUGCCCUUGCUGGCCAUGCCUUUAGCAUACAUCCGGAAAAUCUGUGUUCGAAUUCCUUCUCUGACAAAUGCUGAUUGAGCUGCAGUGCCUUGUGAUGUCAGCUGAGUUACCUUCAGUGCUCAGGAGUGUUUUCUUUUCAUCAGCUACUCCUGGUCAGCCACUUGGGAGUGGGUGGGGGGCAGGGGGAAUUAGUGCCUAGGACAGAUUCUCAGGCCCUCUCAUGUGUCAACAGCCCUCAAGGAGAUUCCAGAUGUGCUCACUCUCAGAGACAACAAUUCUAGCCAGGCUAAUAUGCUUUUGAGCAUCCCAAGGGACAUGGUAACCAUUGAGUAGGAUAGCUCUGAUGUUGCUGAAGGGAUUCUGUGACUAUACUUAUUUCUCCCUAAUACUCCAAUACCUUGAAAUGUGACACGGAGGGGUUCAAAUCAUCCAGCAGCCUGGCCAGAGGCAGCAGCAGUUUCUGUAAGGAGACAGUAUUUAACUUUUUUUUAAGUGUAAACUCCUGUCUCCUUGAAGUUAAAUAUUUCCUUCACACUUUAGGGGCCUUUUUUUUUUCGAAAUGCUCUUUUGCCCCUCUCUGGAUAACAAGUAGUAGGUGCUCAAUUGUUUGAAUUACAUCAAGAAGAGGCUGAGAAGGGACACACGCAUUCUAAAUGCUGCAAAAGAAGAAAAUGCCAAACGAUGGCCAGUUUUUAAAUUACUUAAGAUCCUCUCCCGAGUGUUACAUACAAGGGGACACUAUCAUGAAUUUCAGAAAUGGCACUCUUUUGUGUUUUGUCACUUUUUUUAAGCCCUCGCCACAUUUUCUAAAAAUAGGCCUUAUUCUGUCCAGUGAGACUCCAAGUUGCUUGGGGGUUCUCCCUGUCAGUUUCCUUUUGACUCUCCCACGGCCAGCUCAGGCCUGGCGACGUGUUGUGCUCUCACAGGGAGAGUCCCUCUCCUCCAUUUGCAUUUCCACAGUAGUCUUCUCUUCUGCUUCUCCUGUGAACCUCCUAAUCACAGGAUGUCCGCUUUUGCUGGUGGGUGGGAUAUGAAGGCAAAGCAAGGCAGGAGCAAGUGUUAACAAUUCAUCAUCACUUUCCUCAUCUCACUACUCUUUCAUGCCAUCAGGGCAAGAUGACAUAAAUAGAAAGCAUCAUUAGCUCCACUGCUUCCAGUGGGGGAUGGAGGGAAACUCCAGCCUAUUUUCACCUUCCAUGGUCUUAGGAAACAGGAGAGGGUAGACACCGGUAUCUUCUCAUAAUUCCUUAGUGUAAUUUAGUUCCCUUUUAUUUGUCCUAAUCCUUUACACAUUUUUAACUCAUCACCACAAAUAAAUUCAUCAAAACCCUCAAAUGAAAUCACCAAGAAAACCAAAGAAAGUUGAGUUAGAGAGUAUUUCUUCUCUGCAUACCAUGUAAUUUUCUUCAAAACAUCCUUUCUGGGUAUUUGAGAUGCUCAUUUUUUUCCUGAUUGUUAUAAUUCAUUUGGCAUUACCCCAUCUUUAUUAAUUUUACUUAAAAAAUUAUCUGGAAACAACAACAAAAUAUUUUUAGAACAGCAAAUUUCAAAAAUGAUGCCCAAAGGAAAAAACGGUUCUGGAAAAGGGGGAAAUGGGGACAUGUCUCUGGGAGCAACAGUGCUGAUGAGAAGGCUCAGGGCCCCAAAGUGGGUGGCGACACAGCAAACAGACACAUUCUACGCGAAAAACAUGGCAAAACGACGGAAGCCAUGGAAAAGUUAAAAUCUAGUAUGAGACUCAAUGAAGUGUCUCCACAAUAUAGUGAAGAUAAAAGCCAGGCCAGGGGACAACUUGGGUAAGGAGGAUAAUGACCCAGACCCCCGCUUUUCAAGAAGCAGCAUUUGCCUUGCCUGUAAGUGGGAUGGGUAAGCCUGUGUUUACAGAUCCUUCCAUAAAGACAAAAUCUGGAUAUCAUAUUAUUAUGGUUGAAGGAAGAAAAUAAAAUCAAAUUAAGCCAA